CGGACGGGUGAGCAACGCGUGGAAAACCUGCCGUAUACUGGGGGAUAACACUUAGAAAUAGGUGCUAAUACCGCAUAAGCGCACAGUUUCGCAUGAAGCGGUGUGAAAAACUCUGGUGGUAUACGAUGGUUCCGCGUCUGAUUAGCUAGCUGGUGGGGUAAUGGCCUACCAAGGCAACGAUCAGUAGCCGGCCUGAGAGGGUGAACGGCCACAUUGGGACUGAGACACGGCCCAAACUCCUACGGAAGGCAGCAG
rnacentral:rRNA from 1 species